rnacentral:rRNA from 1 species
UACGUAGGGGGCGAGCGUUGUCCGGAAUCAUUGGGCGUAAAGCGCGUGUAGGCGGCUUGAUCAGUCCGGUGUGAAAUCUUGGGGCUCAACCCCAAGCCUGCACUGGAUACUGUCAAGCUUGAGUCCGGGAGGGGAGAGCGGAAUUCCUAGUGUAGCGGUGAAAUGCGCAGAUAUUAGGAAGAACACCGGUGGCGAAGGCGGCUCUCUGGAACGGUACUGACGCUGAGACGCGAAAGCGUGGGGAGCGAACAGGAUUAGAAACCCC